GUGCCAGCAGCCGCGGUAAUACGGAGGGUGCGAGCGUUAAUCGGAAUAACUGGGCGUAAAGGGCACGCAGGCGGUGACUUAAGUGAGGUGUGAAAGCCCCGGGCUUAACCUGGGAAUUGCAUUUCAUACUGGGUCGCUAGAGUACUUUAGGGAGGGGUAGAAUUCCACGUGUAGCGGUGAAAUGCGUAGAGAUGUGGAGGAAUACCGAAGGCGAAGGCAGCCCCUUGGGAAUGUACUGACGCUCAUGUGCGAAAGCGGUGGGGAGCAAACAGGAUUAGAUACCCUGGUAGUCCACGCUGUAAACGAUGUCGAUUUGGGGGUUGAACUUUAAGUUUGGCGCCCGUAGCUAACGUGAUAAAUCGACCGCCUGGGGAGUACGGCCGCAAGGUUAAAACUCAAAGGAAUUGACGG
rnacentral:rRNA from 1 species